rnacentral:rRNA from 1 species
UGCCAGCAGCCGCGGUAAUACAUAUGUGGCAAGCGUUGUUCGGAAUUACUGGGCAUAAAGAGUUCGUAGGUGGACCUAUCAGUUGGAUGUGAAAUCCCUCAGCUUACCUGAGGAACUGCAUUCAAUACUGUAGGUCUGGAGUCCUUGAGGGGAAAGUGGGGUUCCAGGUGUAGCGGUGAAAUGCGUAGAUAUCUGGGAGAAGGCCAAAGGCGAAGGCAGCUUUCUGGCGAGUGACUGACACUGAGGAACGAAAGUUAGGGAAUCGAACGGGAUUAGAUA